CCAGGUAAUGUUCAAUCCAGCCAAGGGAGCCAGGAUAAUGAAUAAAACAAGUUUUCCCACCCUCCCUGACGUUCAUUCUAGCAGAUGGAGACAGGUGAUAAUGGGUCUCCCUAUGUUACCCAGUAUGCUCAUGAACUCCUGAUCUCAAGUGAUCUUCCCGCCCUUGGCCACCCAAGACACUGGCAUGACAGGCAUGAGCCACCACGCCUGAAAGGUUGGAUUUCAGUGAGUCUUCUCAACAAUACUAUAAGUUCAAGUGAUGCCAAGAACAAAGAUCAUCAUGAACAAAGGGACCAACUAACAGCAAGGAGCUGGGGAGGUUCAACAAGCAGAAAAUAUCCCCAAGAAAAUGUGGUACAGCGAGUGGGAAAAGAGUGGUGCCAGAGAAGGCUGGAAGUGCAGGUGACAACCAUUUGACAGAGAAGCUUGUAAUCCAUGGUCAAGAGUUUAGAUUCUGUUUUAAAUCCAACAGAAAAUCACUAGGGGAGUUUUAAGCAGGGAGAGUCCUGCGUAGACAGAGGAACAAACGAUAAAAAUUUAAAAAAAAAUAGUGUCUUCAAGCUGUUUUACAUAGUUUAGGGCAUUUGCUACAGUACAGAAUUAUUCCAGAAGAAAAUGAAAGUAAAU
rnacentral:lncRNA from 13 species